AGAGUUUGAUCAUGGCUCAGGACGAACGCUGGCGGCGUGCCUAAUACAUGCAAGUAGAACGCUGAAGGAGGAGCUUGCUUCUCCGGAUGAGUUGCGAACGGGUGAGUAACGCGUAGGUAACCUGCCUGGUAGCGGGGGAUAACUAUUGGAAACGAUAGCUAAUACCGCAUAAGAGUAGAUGUUGCAUGACAUUUGCUUAAAAGGUGCAAUUGCAUCACUACCAGAUGGACCUGCGUUGUAUUAGCUAGUUGGUGAGGUAACGGCUCACCAAGGCGACGAUACAUAGCCGACCUGAGAGGGUGAUCGGCCACACUGGGACUGAGACACGGCCCAGACUCCUACGGGAGGCAGCAGUGGGGAAUAUUGCACAAUGGGCGCAAGCCUGAUGCAGCGACGCCGCGUGAGGGAUGACGGCCUUCGGGUUGUAAACCUCUGUUAGCAUCGAAGAAGCGAAAGUGACGGUAGGUGCAGAGAAAGCGCCGGCUAACUACGUGCCAGCAGCCGCGGU
rnacentral:rRNA from 1 species